UACAGAGGUCCCAAGCGUUGUUCGGAUUCACUGGGCGUAAAGGGUGCGUAGGCGGUCGGGUAAGUCUGUCGUGAAAUCUCCGAGCCCAACCCGGAAACUGCGUCGGAUACUAUUCGGCUAGAGGAAUGGAGGGGAGACUGGAAUUCUCGGUGUAGCAGUGAAAUGCGUAGAUAUCGAGAGGAACACCAGUGGCGAAGACGAGUCUCUGGACAUUUCCUGACGCUGAGGCACGAAAGCCAGGGGAGCAAACGGG
rnacentral:rRNA from 1 species